CUCCUUGUUGUUCAAUUCAUCUUCUUAUCCUGUCGAGAACAAGCACCAGUCACUCGAACCAUUAUCCUGCCAAUCUGAGCUUCUAACAUAUCUCCUAACUCAUCUCGAUCAAAACUUCCAUUCUGCUUGGUUCAGGCAAUUCUACGAACACCGUAUGAGCAUAACUGAUGGUGCUGUUGUGCGUCAACAAUUCCCCAUCCGUGGCUCUCUAAUUCCUGCAGAUUUCAAUUCAUACACAACCCAUUCUCCUAUUUCUUACAAGACUUGUAAACUAGUGUCAAUCAUCACCAUUUACUGCCACAUUCAAACACAACAAUGGCUCAACUCCAGCUACACAGUUGUAUGUCUCAUUAAGCUCAUUUCCUAGUUGUUAAAUCGAGCCUGAAUUAAACCCACUCUUCCAAGCCCUUGAAAACUAUAAAAACUCCAUUAAUCGUCUCCCCAAAUCAGCAGCAUCAAAUCCCCUUCCUUUUAACUGAUUCAGUCUUGAAUCUCCACCAAACUGUCACCACUAGUUCCAUAUCUAUCUCCACCUUGAAACGAAAUCUUAUCCCUUGGUGAACAGCCACAAGACUCAUGGCUUGAUUGACGGCAUACUUUCUUCUUGAACUUGGUCACAGUCACUGGAUACUACAGCAGACACGCAGAAGAAUAGAAUACGAAGAACACAAGAUGCUGGUAUGAACAGAUCUAACGAAAAAUCAAAUCGAACAGAUGGAACAGUAGAGUGGAGAGGAAGAAGAAAAGGAAUCGAAGAAGAAGAAGAAGAAAAAAAAAAAAACCGAAACCUAAUUUUAUAAAUUAUGGGUUUGGGAGAAAUUUUUUCACCAAAAUUGGAUGCGUGUCUGAACUUUUUUAUCGGUGGAUUUCACUGUGACCAAAAUCUUAAAAAUGGGUGUGGUUGUAGUUUUCACUAUUCGCAAACGACCAAUACAGAAGAAUUCGCGGGCUUUGGUUUGUUCUUGAUACAUUCCAAUGUUAAUUUGUUAAUGUAGUGGAUGCUAAUCGGUGCAUAAAUUAUUUUUUCAUACUUGGGUCCAACAUUGAUUUUCCAAGUCAGUUAGCCGGUUUUAAAUAUAAAUCGCCUUAUUCUCAAAAAAAAUUAAAAAUUUGGUUCCAACAUAUGCAUCUUACAUGAACCUAAAUUUUGUACAAAAAUCAUUAUAUAUAGGGUUUGGAUAUAUUUUAAAAAAUUAUUAAAAAUUAGUUUGAGAAUACAAUUUUAAAAUAAUUUAAACCAAAGAACGACUUUUUAUGACGCAAAUUGUUUUUGUUUUCAUGUCCCCUACUUACUUAAUUGGUCUCUCAUCAAGGUAUUUCUAAUUGUUUCUUCUAGUAGGUUUAAGCUUUUUUCUUUAUUAUUAUUCAAAAUAGAUUUAAUUUGUCGCAUUAAGAAGGUAAUUGCGAAAUUUGUUUAUAGUUUUUGCAUAGCAUUUUACAGGAUUUUGUUUUUGUUAGCGACUGUCAGGCAGUGCUUCACUUUGUGCGGAGGAGUUUUACCUAAGAGAUCAGAUCUUUAGCCUUGAUGUGUCGCGGCUAGUAUUAGAGCAGAUUUCUAGCCUUGGACGUGGAGCACAUCUUGGGGAAUGUAGAUACCCCAAAAUUUGGGAGCAUAUACCAAAUAACACGCUGAAGAUUUGAAGAGUAUGAUGGAGAGUGUGUCGGUAAGACGCACUGGCCAGGGAUGCGGAGAGUAUGCCGAAAGGACAUACUGACAAGAGGACUUGGAGAGUGCGUCGAUGAAGCACACUUUCCAGAGCUGCAGAGAGUGAGUCUGGAAUCGGAGAGUGCGUCUGGGACUAUGGAGAGUGCAUUUGGGAGACGCACUGGUAAGAAUCAUGAAGAGUGCGUUUAGAGGUGCACUGACCGAAGACAUGGAGAAUGCAUAUGAAGAAGAAAGAAAGAACGAGCAAACGAGAAGGAAGAGAUAGUUUAAAAGGGAAAGCACACGUCAGCAGUAGUGGGUCCCAACGGAGACUGUCCAGAUUCUGUUAAACGGAUGCCAAAAGAAAGAUGACGUCAGCAGAAACACGUGUACCAUGAUCAACGUACGAAAAUAUUCGGAAGGUCAACAUCGUACACCUGUACGUCAUCAGAUGACUCAAAGGAAUUUUGGAAAGCUAUAAAUACCCCCUCAAGAGAGAAGUUUAGAUUCAUUUUGAAUAAUUUUCCAUUUCUGUGUAAACUAGAGCAGUGUACUACUUUCUGGAUCAGAGUUAUUUUCUAUCUAUUUUAGUGUAA